CAACCUGCUGCAUUUGUCUAUAAACGUACCCACAAUUUGACUUCCCGAAACUGUAAGAUAUCUGUACUUGAUCAUCUUCUUGAAAGUAUUCUUGAUUGUCCACCUAUCGGGUCGAUUUUAGCCCAAUAGGUGAACAGAGGAUAAUAUUAUAUCAGGUUCUAUAGUUCAGGGGCAUUUUAGGCCAGGGGUAGACAAAUAAAGCCCUUGUCUUAGACCCUCAAAUAUUAAGGGCCCAAAAAUAUAAAGUACUAGUAGUAUAUUAGUAUUAUAUAUAGCAUAUAAUUUGUACAAUUAUUAUUACAAAAAAUUUCAAUUUUAUAUUUUGUAAAUUUUAUUGAGGUUGUAUCAUGACUGAGUGAGUAAAUUAAUCACAAAUUUUUUUUCUUAUUAAAUUAAAUGGUAUCUUUACCUUCUCAUCAAUUUUAAUUUUUUUUUCUUUAUGUAUAUUUUUUUCUUCUAAAUAUUUUUGAUGAUUUUACUCUUUAAUUUCAACUUCGGUUCUCUGAAUUAGCUAUUUCUUUUGUCAUAUUUGAUUGAUAUGCAUCAGAAAAAAAGUUCUUUUAUGUCUCAUCAUUUUAGUUAAGAAAUUCUCGAGGGCAGCGGCACAAGAUUUGAAUCGAUGAAUAAUGAGCUCACUAUUCUGUCCUUUUUCGCUUAAAUAUCAUGCUAUUGUCCAUGGGAGAGUUCGAAAUCGUGAUGUGAGCCUAACGUCAUCACAUGUUGUACUCUUACCAUUAAACCAAAGUCAUGUAGGUUUCUUUUAUGUGUCAUUAUAAUAUAGAUUUUAUGAAAAUUUAAGGGUCUUAAUAUAUUUUGGCUUUAGACCACAAUUUUUUUUUGAAUUACCCCUAUUUUAGGCCCUUUUCCAUAAAUUGUAUUUUAUUUUAUCUUAACCAAUAUUUUACUUUUGGCAGGAAAUCAAUUUAAAACAGAAUAUGUCAGGCAAGCAAAACAUGGUAUUGUUACCCAUUUGCACAUUUCUCUUAAUAUUAGUACUUCCUAAUGCAUUGGUAAAGUGUACAUUAACACCUAAAGAAGAAGAAGUUUGUCAGCACGAAUGUGUAGAGGAGUAUCUCCAACUCUAUUGGGCGGAGGGUCUUACUGCAGAAAAGAUAAAAGAAUAUGAAGAAGCAUGCAAAACGCGUGAAAGAUUGUUUCUGUGUGAGCAAGAGGCAGAAGGCGCCUUCCCUCCGGUUUGGAAGCUGCCGGAGGAGGAGUUACAUCCCGGAAAAUUUUAUUAACUUUUAUGCAAUUUAAUAUUUGAGUGGCUUCAUUUAAUUAUCUUAAGUUGGCUUAUUUCUUAAGGUCGCUCUAUUUGAUAACUUUUAUAGAUAUAUAAAUAGCAAAUGUACGAACUUAAAUAUUGAAAUGUGAUUAUAUUAAAUUAUUGCGGAGUUGAUAAAUAAAAACAAUAAAUUUACCGAGCAGCUGCUUAGUGGGGAAUGAAAGAUAUUCAAACUUUGUAAAACUGGACAUGAUCAUAAUUGAGG
rnacentral:lncRNA from 1 species